CUCCUAGAAAACAGAAGAUCCAGACAAAUGUUUGCAAACGUCGCCAAGAGCAUUCACUUUCCCUCCGCGAAUCCUCCUUCCCACUGACGUCGCUGGAACCAACACCAAAUACCAGGGGAAAAUGAUUUCCAUUCACCUUCCUCAAGAAAGUGCCACAUAGGAGCGUAAUGAACUUGGCCAAGCUCGAAGAAAUGAAGCAGCAUUCUCUAUUAUAUUUGCCUGAAAGAUGCGUCUGUGAAAAUUUUAGUAAUUACAAAGUUUCCAUAGCCUUUUUAUACUCCUAAGGGCCAUAAAGAUGAAACAUCUAAAUCUGGAAGGAUGAACAGUGUGCUGGGAUUAUAGUUUUUAUUCUUAUUAGGAGUUUAAUCACCCACAGCGCCGUUUCUCUUAGAUCUAGCACGAUUGUUUUCUGACUGGUGUCCACUUUCUUUGUUCCCCAGGUUGUACCACUGGUCUGCUUCAGACUCUGUGCAGAGGAAGGCCAGCCCAGCUCCAGGACAAACCUGCCAAAAUACUGCAAAAAAAUAUGUUGCUGAUCACGGGCAGGAAAUACUCCAAGUCCCACGAGAUAUAGCCUGUUCUCAGGAGACUUCCACACCAAGUCUGCUGACCUCAGAAGGAGCAUCAGGCCACCAGACUCAAGGCUGGAGCCUGCUCAGGGCCAGGAGGUAUUUGGGAGCUCCUCAUUCCAGGAGUUUGUGCCAACGUGGUACUUGGGAUUCUUUUAAGCUCUAAGUGUUGUUUGUUUUUUUGUUUGUUUUUCAGAAGGGAAACAGAUGGCAAAAACUGGACUCAGUAGGGAAAUGGUUGAAUUGAUUAUAUUAUGUCAAUCUAUUCAUUUCUACUGUAAUAGCUAAGAUUUAUUAAACUUUUAGCAUGUGCUAGGUAUUGUUGGAAGCACUUUUCAUGAAUUAACUCAGUCCUCUCAUUAAGUCCCUUGGACAGAAGUACUGCUGUCAAUAUCAUACCUGAGAGACAGGGGUGUUGCAUUACUUUUUCAAGAAGGCGUGGCAGGUGAGCAUGAAGGCAGAUUUGAAACAAGAGGGGCUGGCUCCACAGCCUGUGCUCUUAGCUUAUAUGGUACAAUCUCAGUUAUAAUAUGUCUGGAUCUGAAGCGAGAGCCACAGCAUAUUGGUAAGGGAGGGUAGUUGUUAUAUAGAGGGUGGAGGAAGCUAGGGGGUGGAGGGAUUGAGCAAAUAGGAAAAGGGACUCAUGGACAUGGACAGCAGUGUGGUGAUCACGGGGUGGGGAUGGCCAAAGAGGGUAUAAGGGGACUAAAUGGUAAUGGGAAAACAAGGCAAAACAAAACUGCUUCACCAAGUGAAGAAAUCAAUAGCCCGAGAAGCCAUUUCCUACCUCCAUUCUGGGCUUUAUUCAAUCGUCUGUUUUGCUAAGUAGGAGUAAUGAUAUCUGCCCUGCAUACCUCACAGAAAGUAGGAACCAAAGAAAUCACAUGGAUAAAAGUGCUUUGACAAUCACUUUGUAAUAAAGUUUUAUUAUCAAGAAUAUCCUUACUGAUAUUGCUAUAUAAGUGUUAAAUAUAUUAUAUAUUAUAUAAAUUCUACAUUGUAUUAUCCUUAUAUAUUAUAUAAAUAACAUUGAUAUUGCCACAUAAAUCUAGGUUAGUGUUGAAGUGUAUUCAAAGAGAGGAACAUUAUUUAUUGAUAUGCUAUUAGACAUGUGAAUUAAGGGUAUUGCAGUCUAAAGUUCCUGGGAAACAUAGAGGUUUAACAAAAUUAAACUUAAAAAAAUUGCAAGUUAUCAGCUAAACUGUAUUUUUCCAACCCCCAUCCCCUGCCCAAAUUCAUAUGUUGAAGCCCUGAUCCUCAGCACUUCCGAAUGUGACUCUGUUUAGAGAUAGUUCCUCUAAAGAGCUGAUUAAGUAAAAUGAGGCUGCUGGCAUGGGUCCUAAUCCAGUGUGGCUGGUGUUUUUAUAAGAAGAGAAAAUUUGGACACAUGAAUUGAUGCCAGAGGUGCACAAGCAUCCAGGAAAGACCACAUGAAGACACAGCAAGAAGGUGGCCAUCUGCAAGCCAAGGAGAGAGGCCUCAGAAGAAACCAAAUGUGUUGAUACCUUGACCUUGGACUUCUAACCUCUAGAGCAGUGAGAAAACACAUUUCUGAUGUUUAAAACACCCCCAGUCUAUGGUAUUUUCUUGUAAUAGAUGAAGAGGCUGCUUCUACUGGCAAUGAAGGCUCAACAGAAUUGUGGGUUCUGGUGUUCCAAGCUCUAAAAGGGACUUCCUACAUGUACUCAUUCCGGUUUUCAGGAUCCCGUUCCUUCCGUUUGGUGCCUUCCCUUUCACAGUAGACAUCUUGCCAUGUAUUGUAAUUCAGCCACUAGCAGGAUGAGAAUCUGGGCUUGGUUUUCAAGAAUUUCUGCUCUGCAGCUCUAGAAAGUGAAUCUCUCUCAGGGCACAUGGAGAGGCUUCCAGGUCAUUUGCGCAGCACUUGAGGUAGAAACGAGAAUCCCUUAGCUCAUCCUGUUCUUUCCCCACUUUCGUCAGUAACAUCAGGAACCAUCGACUGAACUCGUUAUACUUGUUAGUUUGACUGAAGUGUUCAAACACAUACAUGCUUCUUACAUGUGUUUGAUCAGGAGGACCCAGUGUUGAUAUUUUGUGUAUCUCUAUUGCCACAUCAUACCGUAGGCUACCGGCCCUCUCUUGACUAUGGGAAAUGGAGUAAUUAGCAUCCUUAAAUCUAAUCAGAUUAGAGAGUCAAUUCUGGAAAAUCUGAAACUUAUUCAGAAAACUCAUCCUUAAGAUUCUGUUCCUCUAGCACCAUUCUUUGUGCCAAAAUCUCUGUGUUAGUCAGCUGUUCAUUUGGAGGACCCUGACUGAUACAUGUGGCAUUUUUCAGAUCCUUAAUAUAUUAAUGUUCACUGUGAACAUCCAAGGAGGUGAGAUCAUCCAGCCUUUCCCAAACACAGUUGUCCACAAAACACAGUUUUCAAGUAUUUUCUAAGGUGAGUGUUUAGGGAAAAUGAUGGAAUAUACACUGCACUACAUGGAGAAUUUGUGUGAGUGGGUGAGGAAGAGUGUGCGUGUACGUGCAAUGCAUGGGUUAAAAUCUUACACCGGGGCGGGGGUGGGGGGGGAGCUGAGAGGCCCUCUGCCUUCCCGCCUCUGGUACCAUCACUCCUUACGCUCUUUUCGUAUUCGACUAAGUCUACAGUUCUGGUUUGAGUUUCAUUUUUGGGCUACAGACCGACUGGAUAUUUAUCCACUUAUUACUUAGAGAUGUGUUUGAAUACCUACUAUGUGCCAGGCCCUGUUCUUGGUCCUGGGAAUAUAGUGGUGAACAAAACAGACAAGAUGUGACUGCUCUGGUGAGGCUCAGGUUCUGGUGGGGGGAGAGAGAUGAUAGAGAAAAUCAACAAGUAAAUUGCCUAGAGGGACGCGAUGACACAAUGUGGGUGCUGCGGGCUGAAAUAAAGCAGGGAAGGAGCCAGGGAGGGCUGGGUGGCCUGGAUGGGCGUGGGACUGCAGUUUAAAUAGAGGAGGGUCUAUUUAUUUAAAGAUGGAUCUAAGGUGACAUGGAACAGAUGGGAGUGAAAUGUGGGAGGUGCCCUGAGACCAUCUGGGAGGGGCAUUUCAGGCUCAGGGAACAGCAAGCACAUGGCCACAAGAACAUGUGGGUAUGUUCUAGAAACAGCAGGGGGGCCAGCCCGCUGGAGCAGAGAGAGUGUAGGGAGAAUGAGAGAGAGAAUGUAGGGCGAGUGUUUUUUUCCCGUAACCCAGGUCCUGUCUUGUGUCCUGGUCAGUCACCAAGGCCUGUUACUGUGCAGCCCCCUCACCUCACAGCAGACAGGUGGUUUUAUCACCCUGCAGGAUAGCCACUCCCUUAGGGCCUGAGUGUGCGGCCCUCUCUAGGAAAGGGCGCUGAGCCACACUAAGUAUUCUCCUGGCUUCACAGAGAAGACAGAAAAUGGAUCAUGGCACACAGCCAUAUGGCUACUUUAGUCUCCAAGUCAACAUCAAGUUAAUGAGUAUAUAUGAUACAAAGACAUGUAUUUUGGGGAGAGGUGCAUUUUGGAGUAUUUAAUUUCAUCUGUAAUAUCAAUUAAACUGAUUUUUGCAGGAUACGUGCUUGGAGGAAAGAGCUUGCAGAAUAUUGACAUUGAAGAGGACUAUUUAGGAAACAAAGUAUGAAACUCAAGAUGCGUUGGUUACAGUAGACACAGUACCUGAAACCUGCACUUCUGUGACUGGACCUGACUCAUGAUGGGGCCCACUGGACCAUACACUGGUUUUCCCAAUCGGAACUUGGCUGCGCCCGGAGCACACUCCUCCCAUGCUUGUUUGCACAGCCAUCGUAACUAAACUUGGUGACCGAACUAAAGAGGAGCUACUUUAUCAACAGAGGUCGUCUGAUGUUUUUUUUAAACCAAAUAAAAUUCAGACAACUUUUGCCUUUUUCUAGUUUUCUGAUAUUCCUGUUCUCCAUGAUCCUACCAGGAUUAUUGCCAGGAGUUUAGCAAAUACAUCUGCAAAUAGUUGGGAUUAUAACUCACUAGACCCAGAAUCUUGAAUUUUUGCAAAAUUGCCCUUGUUUUUAUUUUGCCUGUUGGUUUCUCACUUUCUUUAGCUUCCAUUCUAAUGCUUCACCCUGAACCUUUUUAAAAACAAAGCCAUAGUAACUCUUCUUUCGAAUGCAUUCUUGUUGACGAGAAGAAAGACAAAAAAUGGGUAGUCAACACUUGCUGCUUUCUCUUAGUCUUCUGCUGCUCUUAACGUUUUGCUGCUUUCCUAGACCAUGGCCUGGUCCUUUCCCAUCCCUGUUCUUUAAAGAACAUUUUAAUAAAUCCAUUAAAAAUUCUCUUUAUUACUGGUUUGCCUCACACACUUGUGUUUGCCUUUGGUUAGAUAAAUGCUCCUCUGUCUUUUGUGUAUGCUAUUAAUAUUUUUAAAAUAUUUGAACCUGACACAGAACUUUCUGUGCACUUUCAUUGGCUUCUGUAGGUAAACCUCUCUAUCCUUGAUGACUGAGAUAUUUUGUGAUCUUAAUAUAAUAUAGUGCAAUUUCUGUGUUUCCCAUCUACAAACCCAAAAGUCCAAGAAUAUGUCUUAGCCAUUACUGAGAAGACAAUGCCUGAAUUAACGGAAUGAGUACACCUUAUAAGAAACUUAUCUUUUUGAGUUUUCUGUUUUUAUGAAGUCUUACAGCCUUUAAGAAUCUAUUUUGUCAUCAACAGAAAUAUCUCACUUUUUGAAAUUAAAGUCUACCCAGUCCAGAAUUCCCUUUUCAGUGAAUUGCACUUUCCUAUACCACUUUCCUCUUGUAAUAAUUAAACCCAGCAAAGGAGUUCUUUGUGUCCAAACCCAAUUACGUGGCUUCAGUCUGAGAACUGGGACUGGAAAACCCAUCCAACUGUAUCGAAAUGAUUCUUUUGGACCUAAUAAACAAACAAUAAUCUUCCUUCUCAGUGUUCACUGAGUACCAAUUAUAAGUCUAUUACACUCAUGUAUUAUUAUAUGAAGUAUUACUAUCAUUGUGCAAUAUAACAUAAUGACAAUAACUUUUAUGCGACCAGGUGAUAUCAGGGGGACAAUUUCUUUUAGUACAAGUUGCUUACUUUUUCACAUCUAGUAUGCUACUUACUGCUUUACUUUGCUACGUAUUAUUGUAACUGAUGGAUUUAUGUGUACUCUGUAAUUUCUUUUAUAGUUAGUACAAACUUUAUGCUUUGUAUUGCUUAUCAUUUUAAACACUCAAGAUUCUACCACCUGUAUUUUUCCAGGAGUUCGCUGCUUUUUCACUUCAUAACACACAUAGAAAAAUAACAUUUGAUUCCCGUUGGGCUAAAUAUAUCUGGUUGCUCCCGGCCAGAGUAUUUUGGACUGGGAUCUCGGUUGUCCCAGGCCUGCCUGGCCACCCUGGGGGUUGAGAGGACCAGUGUCCCAACGCACUGAAAACCCAUUCAUAGCACAUUGGUUGGGAAACUGAUCAAUAGGAUUAAGAUGAUACUCCCUGAAAACAAUCCUCAAACAUAGCUCAGCAUAUGUUGGAGGUCACAGAAUCAACAGACUCUUCAGAAGGGGCUGGGCAGGGUGGAGUGUGGGCCAUGGAAAUUUGGAGUAUAGGAAGGGGACAAUCAUUUAAAGCAAAUGGUUUUAUUUCUCUGGACUGACAUGGUGAUGUCCUGGAAAAAGAUAAGCUCUUGCUCACCUUUAACCUUCCAGUCAUGAUUCAGCGUGACAUUUUCUCUUAUUUUUUCCACUGUAUUUCCAGACCGGUCUGGAUUUUCCCUCUUCACCCCAGGUUUGGGAGGAAAAUGAAAUUAGACUAAUAUUCCACUCUCUUUUACAACUAUCAAAGAUCAGUUGUUUUCAAUCAGAUAUUCUGAUUUAAUAUAUCUGGAGUGAGUCUGGGCUUAGGUAUUUUUACAAAUAUUCUCAGUGAUUUCAGUGGGCAGAAUUGUUGAGAACCACUGAUGGGUAUCAGUGGGAUAAUGGGAAUUUUGAAACUGAGCACAUCUGUGAAAGGACACACCCUGAACCACAAUCGUUCAAAGUAGAGAGGAGACAGGAGGUAAAAGCAGAGAGUACAGAAAGCAAACAUUUGUAUCAUGCAUCAUCUUUGGGCAUCUCUGUGUCUUGUUGGGAUUUGGACACUUCUGUUAGGAGAGUGGCUUAUUACUGCUCUGGUGAGAUAGAAGAAGCUUUGUAGAACAAAUCAACUUGUAAAACAUUUCAAAAAGGAAAAGGUAGUAAAAAUUAUGAAGUGUGAAUUCAUAAAUCAGCAAGAAAGAAGGGCCAGAGCAGCAAGUGGAGAAAUAGAUGGAGGAGUCAUUUGUUGGGGAGAGAGGACUGUGUGUGUGGCAAGGGGGGGGCAGGGUGGCGGGGAGCAAAGGAAGGAGAGAUACAGACUCUGGGCUCAGUGAGAAACUUGGUCAUUGAG